UACGUAGGCAGCGAGCGUUGUUCGGAGUUACUGGGCGUAAAGAGUGGGUAGGCGGUUCUCUAAGUUCCGUGUGAAAUCUCCCGGCUCAACCGGGAGGGUGCGCGGAAAACUGGAGGGCUUGAGUAUGGGAGAGGAAAGCGGAAUUCCUGGUGUAGCGGUGAAAUGCGUAGAUAUCAGGAGGAACACCUGCGGUGAAGACAGCUUUCUGGACCAUCACUGACGCUGAGGUGCGAAAGCGUGGGGAGCAAACAGG
rnacentral:rRNA from 1 species